GGGCCCGUAGCUCAGUCUGGCUCGAGCGCACGACUGAUAAUCGUGAGGUCCGGAGUUCGAAUCUCCGCGGGCCCA
rnacentral:tRNA from 1 species